rnacentral:rRNA from 1 species
UACGGGGGGGGCAAGUGUUGUUCGGAAUUACUGGGCGUAAAGGGCUCGUAGGUGGCCAACUAAGUCAGACGUGAAAUCCCUCAGCUUAACCGGGGAACUGCGUCUGAUACUGGAUGGCUUGAGUUCGGGAGAGGGAUGCGGAAUUCCAGGUGUAGCGGUGAAAUGCGUAGAUAUCUGGAGGAACACCGGUGGCGAAGGCGGCAUCCUGGACCGAUACUGACGCUGAGGAGCGAAAGCCAGGGGAGCAAACGGG